rnacentral:rRNA from 1 species
CCUACGGGCGGCAGCAGUGAGGAAUAUUGGUCAAUGGGCUUACGCCUGAACCAGCCAAGUCGCGUGAGGGAAGACUGCCCUAUGGGUUGUAAACCUCUUUUGUCAGGGAGCAACGCCGGCUACGUGUAGCCGGACUGAGAGUACCUGAAGAAAAAGCAUCGGCGAACUCCGUGCCAGCCGCCGCGGUAAUACGGAGGAUGCGAGCGUUAUCCGGAGUUAUUGGGUUUAAAGGGGGCGUAGGCGGUAUGCCAAGUCAGCGGUAAAAUCGCGGGGCUCAACCUCGCGCGGCCGUUGAAACUGGCGUUCUUGAGUGGGCGAGAAGUGUGCGGAAUGCGUGGUGUAGCGGUGAAAUGCAUAGAUAUCACGCAGAACUCCGGUUGCGAAGGCAGCAUACCGGCGCCCAACUGACGCUGAAGCACGAAAGCGUGGGUAUCGAACAGGAUUAGAUACCCGUGUAGUC